CUUCCGUUCGUCUAGUUGGCCUAGGACACUGCCCUUUCACAGCGGCAACAGGGGUUCGAAUCCCCUACGGAAGA
rnacentral:tRNA from 1 species